rnacentral:rRNA from 1 species
UACGUAGGGUGCAAGCGUUGUCCGGAAUUACUGGGCGUAAAGGGCGCGUAGGCGGCCGCCUAAGUCAGACGUGAAAUCCCUCGGCUCAACCGGGGAACUGCGUCUGAUACUGGGUGGCUUGAAUCCGGGAGAGGGAUGCGGAAUUCCAGGUGUAGCGGUGAAAUGCGUAGAUAUCUGGAGGAACACCGGUGGCGAAGGCGGCAUCCUGGACCGGCAUUGACGCUGAGGAGCGAAAGCAUGGGGAGCGAACAGG